rnacentral:rRNA from 1 species
GACGAACGCUGGCGGCGUGCUUAACACAUGCAAGUCGAACGGAGAAUUUUAUUUCGGUGAAAUUCUUAGUGGCGAACGGGUGAGUAACGCGUAGACAACCUACCUCUCAGAUGGGGACAACAUCGCGAAAGCGGUGCUAAUACCGAAUGAUGUAACUUUUCUGCAUGGGAGAGUUACCAAAGGCGGCCUCUAUUUAUAAGCUGUCACUGAGAGAUGGGUCUGCGUCUGAUUAGCUAGUUGGCGGGGUAAUGGCCCACCAAGGCGACGAUCAGUAGCCGGUCUGAGAGGAUGAACGGCCACAUUGGGACUGAGACACGGCCCAAACUCCUACGGGAGGCAGCAGUGGGGAAUCUUCCGCAAUGGACGAAAGUCUGACGGAGCAACGCCGCGUGAGUGAAGGAGGUUUUCGGAUCGUAAAGCUCUGUUGUUUGAGACGAACGUGCAAUUUUUGAAUAAGGAAUUGUAAUGACGGUAUUAAACGAGAAAGCCACGGCUAACUACGUGCCAGCCGCCGCAGUAAAAC